AGCCCAAACGAAGACCCAUCUAGUGACCCGAAAGUCUGACCUUAAAAUUGAAAUACCCAAUUAAAUUGGACACAUAAAAAUACUAUCUUUACUACUUCUUCUUCUUCGUUACAAUUCCAUCCCCCUUUAAAAUCCCCUUCUCUCUUCAAGCGUCGAAAUUGGGAAAUUGGGACUUGAUGACUGAAUAAUCCUCCCAUGUUGCUUCGUUAGGUGAAAGAUUUGCCCAUUGAACCAGGAUCUGCGUUGAAGCUUUGUUUCCCUUUUUUACCAUGCGACGAUCAAGAAUGGCCAUCGGUUCAGUUAAGAUAUGUCCGUCGUUGGUGAAGUAAGGUGGAUCCUUUGAAGGGAAUACUUUCUCACCGAUCUUCUUCUUCUUCAAUAAGGACACGUGAAACACUGGAUGGAUUUUUGAUCCAUGAGGAAGACGAAGUUCGUAUGCGACUGGCCCAAUCCUGUGAAUUACUUUAUCUGUCCGAAAGAAUCUCGCGGACAACUUGAUAUUCUUCCGCACCGCCACUGAUGUCUGCCGGUAUGGAUUUGAUCAACUGAAUCCAGCUUUGAUUGAGCAAUCAGUUCGAAGGUUGGCUGGGGUGGUUCGUACCCAUACAAGGCCUUGAAAGGUGUCAUGCCUAUGGCAGAGUGAUGGUUUGUGUUGUACCAGAAUUCUGCAAGGGCUAGCCAUUUGCUCCACUCCGACGGCUUGUGUCCUGUCAUACACCUCAAGUAUGUCUAUAGACAACGAUUGAGUCAUUCCAAUUGUCCGUCGGUUUAGGGAUAGUAAGCGGUACUAGGUUUAAGCUGCACUUGUAAACCAUUAAAUAACUCCUUCCAAAACGUACUUACAAAUAUAGGAUCCCUGUCUGAGAUUAUGGAGCUUGGUACUUCAUGUAGCUUGCA